rnacentral:rRNA from 1 species
UACGUACCGUACGAACGUUAUUCGGAGUCACUGGGCUUAAAGGGUGCGUAGGCGGCCAAGAAAGUUAGGUGUGAAAUCCCACAGCUCAACUGUGGAACUGCGCUUAAAACUACUUGGCUCGAGGAGGAUAGAGGUGAGCGGAACUGAUGGUGGAGCGGUGAAAUGCGUUGAUAUCAUCAGGAACACCGGUGGCGAAAGCGGCUCACUGGGUCCUAUCUGACGCUGAAGCACGAAAGCUAGGGGAGCGAACGGG